GUCUACAGCCAUACCACCCUAAACAUGCCCAGUCUCAUCCUGGAAGCUAAGCAGGGUUGAGCCUGGUUAGUACUUGGAUGGGAGACCAAGUAGCUGGGACU
rnacentral:rRNA from 1 species